rnacentral:rRNA from 1 species
CCGAACGGGGGGGGCAAAGAAUGCUGUCGACCAUGAACCACUUCGGUGGGGAUUAGUGGCGAACGGGUGAGUAACACGUGGGCAAUCUGCCCUUCACUCUGGGACAAGCCCUGGAAACGGGGUCUAAUACCGGAUACGAGUUUCACGGGCAUCCGUGAUUCUGGAAAGCUCCGGCGGUGAAGGAUGAGCCCGCGGCCUAUCAGCUUGUUGGUGAGGUAAUGGCUCACCAAGGCGACGACGGGUAGCCGGCCUGAGAGGGCGACCGGCCACACUGGGACUGAGACACGGCCCAGACUCCUACGGGAGGCAGCAGUGGGGAAUAUUGCACAAUGGGCGAAAGCCUGAUGCAGCGACGCCGCGUGAGGGAUGACGGCCUUCGGGUUGUAAACCUCUUUCAGCAGGGAAGAAGCGAAAGUGACGGUACCUGCAGAAGAAGCGCCGGCUAACUACGUGCCAGCAGCCGCGGUAAUACGUAGGGCGCAAGCGUUGUCCGGAAUUAUUGGGCGUAAAGAGCUCGUAGGCGGCUUGUCACGUCGGGUGUGAAAGCCCGGGGCUUAACCCCGGGUCUGCAUUCGAUACGGGCUAGCUAGAGUGUGGUAGGGGAGAUCGGAAUUCCCUGGUGUAGCGGUGAAAUGCGCAGAUAUCACGGAGGAACACCGGUGGCGAAAGGCGGAUCUCUGGGGCCAAUUACCGACCCCUG